rnacentral:rRNA from 1 species
GACGAACGCUGGCGGCGUGCCUAAUACAUGCAAGUCGAGCGGAAGUUGGAGAGCUUGCUCUUCAACUUUAGCGGCGGACGGGUGAGUAACACGUGGGCAACCUGCCCUGCAGAUCGGGAUAACUCCGGGAAACCGGUGCUAAAACCGAAUAGUUUUCGCCACCUCCUGGUGGCGUACGGAAAGACGGUUUCGGCUGUCACUGCAGGAUGGGCCCGCGGCGCAUUAGCUAGUUGGUGGGGUAACGGCCCACCAAGGCGACGAUGCGUAGCCGACCUGAGAGGGUGAUCGGCCACACUGGGACUGAGACACGGCCCAGACUCCUACGGGAGGCAGCAGUAGGGAAUCUUCCGCAAUGGACGAAAGUCUGACGGAGCAACGCCGCGUGAGUGACGAAGGUUUUCGGAUCGUAAAACUCUGUUGUGAGGGAAGAACAAGUACCACUUAACUACUGGUACCUUGACGGUACCUCACCAGAAAGCCACGGCUAACUACGUGCCAGCAGCCGCCGUAAAAC